GACGAACGCUGGCGGCGUGCUUAACACAUGCAAGUCGAACGCUGAAGCCCAGCUUUUGUUGGGUGGAUGAGUGGCGAACGGGUGAGUAGCACGUGAGUAACCUGCCCCCUUCUUUGGGAUAACGCCCGGAAACGGGUGCUAAUACUGGAUAUUCACUGGUCUUCGCGUGGGGGUUGGUGGAAAGGGUUUUUCUGGUGGGGGAGGGGCCCGCGGCCUAUCAGCUUGUUGGUGGGGUGAUGGACUACCAAGGCUUUGACGGGUAGCCGGCCUGAGAGGGGGACCGGGCACGUGAGGACGGAGAUACGGCCCAGAAUCCUGCCGGAGGCAGCAGUGGGGAGUGUUGCAGAAUGGGCGCAAGCCUGAUGCAGCGACGCCGCGUGAGGGAUGGAGGCCUUGGGGUUGUGAACCGCUUUCGCGCAUGGUCAAGCCGCUACAAUGGUUGUGGUGAGGGUAGUGGGUAAAGAAGCGCCGGCUAACUACGUG
rnacentral:rRNA from 1 species